AGAUUUCGCUCCUUAAGCUUUUAUUUCAGUAGUCCGGCAAGACCGAACAACAAACUCCAAACUAAAUGUAAAGUAACAUACAAACAAUAACAAUAUAUAUAAACACAAGCAAUUAAAGGAUUACGCAGAUUAACAGAUGACAAAUUAGAAAUAACAAUAGAUUAAAAGAGAAAUUAGUGUCCGACACGUAUUUGUAAAUUACAGUCGAAACUGUCACAGAGAAUAAAUAAUGAGAUAAAUAGAGUAAAUGCAUUUAAGUCCUUUGUCCAAGAUUAUGACACAUAAUCCGUGUAAAACACUUAUGCCUAAAUUUACGAGAAAGUCUAGAAUAGUGAAAUAAAUGCAAA
rnacentral:lncRNA from 1 species